GAUGCACCCAGAGGGGGAGCCAGGAAGUAUUGAUGUUUCUGCCAGUUUAGCGUCAACACUUGCUGGUUUCCUCUCUGGAGCAUC
rnacentral:pre_miRNA from 1 species